rnacentral:rRNA from 1 species
UACGUAGGGUGCGAGCGUUGUCCGGAAUUACUGGGCGUAAAGCGUGCGCAGGCGGUUUUGUAAGACUGUCGUGAAAUCCCCGGGCUUAACCUGGGAAUGGCAUUUGGGACUGCAAGGCUUGAGUGCGGCAGAGGAGACUGGAAUUCUUGGUGUAGCAGUGAAAUGCGUAGAUAUCAGGAGGAACACCGAUGGCGAAGGCAGGUCUCUGGGCUGACACUGACGCUCAUGCACGAAAGCGUGGGGAGCAAACAGG